rnacentral:rRNA from 1 species
CAGCAGCCGCGGGAAUACGGAGGGGGCUAGCGUUGUUCGGAAUUACUGGGCGUAAAGCGCACGUAGGCGGCUUGGUAAGUUAGAGGUGAAAGCCUGGAGCUCAACUCCAGAAUUGCCUUUAAGACUGCCGAGCUAGCAGGUGAGAGAGGUAAGUGGAAUUCCGAGUGUAGAGGUGAAAUUCGUAGAUAUUCGGAAGAACACCAGUGGCGAAGGCGGCUUACUGGCUCAUACUGGACGCUGAGGUGCGAAAGCGUGGGGAGCGAACAGGAUUAGAUACCCCUGUAGUCCCUGUCUCUUAUAC